rnacentral:rRNA from 1 species
GGGUUGUGAGGUUAAGCGACUAAGCGUACACGGUGGAUGCCCUGGCAGUCAGAGGCGAUGAAGGACGUGCUAAUCUGCGAUAAGCGUCGGUAAGGUGAUAUGAACCGUUAUAACCGGCGAUUUCCGAAUGGGGAAACCCAGUGUGUUUCGACACACUAUCAUUAACUGAAUCCAUAGGUUAAUGAGGCGAACCGGGGGAACUGAAACAUCUAAGUACCCCGAGGAAAAGAAAUCAACCGAGAUUCCCCCAGUAGCGGCGAGCGAACGGGGAGCAGCCCAGAGCCUGAAUCAGUGUGUGUGUUAGUGGAAGCGUCUGGAAAGGCGCGCGAUACAGGGUGACAGCCCCGUACACAAAAAUGCACAUGCUGUGAGCUCGAUGAGUAGGGCGGGACACGUGGUAUCCUGUCUGAAUAUGGGGGGACCAUCCUCCAAGGCUAAAUACUCCUGACUGACCGAUAGUGAACCAGUACCGUGAGGGAAAGGCGAAAAGAACCCCGGCGAGGGGAGUGAAAAAGAACCUGAAACCGUGUACGUACAAGCAGUGGGAGCACGCUUAGGCGUGUGACUGCGUACCUUUUGUAUAAUGGGUCAGCGACUUAUAUUCUGUAGCAAGGUUAACCGAAUAGGGGAGCCGAAGGGAAACCGAGUCUUAACUGGGCGUUAAGUUGCAGGGUAUAGACCCGAAACCCGGUGAUCUAGCCAUGGGCAGGUUGAAGGUUGGGUAACACUAACUGGAGGACCGAACCGACUAAUGUUGAAAAAUUAGCGGAUGACUUGUGGCUGGGGGUGAAAGGCCAAUCAAACCGGGAGAUAGCUGGUUCUCCCCGAAAGCUAUUUAGGUAGCGCCUCGUGAAUUCAUCUCCGGGGGUAGAGCACUGUUUCGGCAAGGGGGUCAUCCCGACUUACCAACCCGAUGCAAACUGCGAAUACCGGAGAAUGUUAUCACGGGAGACACACGGCGGGUGCUAACGUCCGUCGUGAAGAGGGAAACAACCCAGACCGCCAGCUAAGGUCCCAAAGUCAUGGUUAAGUGGGAAACGAUGUGGGAAGGCCCAGACAGCCAGGAUGUUGGCUUAGAAGCAGCCAUCAUUUAAAGAAAGCGUAAUAGCUCACUGGUCGAGUCGGCCUGCGCGGAAGAUGUAACGGGGCUAAACCAUGCACCGAAGCUGCGGCAGCGACGCUUAUGCGUUGUUGGGUAGGGGAGCGUUCUGUAAGCCUGCGAAGGUGUGCUGUGAGGCAUGCUGGAGGUAUCAGAAGUGCGAAUGCUGACAUAAGUAACGAUAAAGCGGGUGAAAAGCCCGCUCGCCGGAAGACCAAGGGUUCCUGUCCAACGUUAAUCGGGGCAGGGUGAGUCGACCCCUAAGGCGAGGCCGAAAGGCGUAGUCGAUGGGAAACAGGUUAAUAUUCCUGUACUUGGUGUUACUGCGAAGGGGGGACGGAGAAGGCUAUGUUGGCCGGGCGACGGUUGUCCCGGUUUAAGCGUGUAGGCUGGUUUUCCAGGCAAAUCCGGAAAAUCAAGGCUGAGGCGUGAUGACGAGGCACUACGGUGCUGAAGCAACAAAUGCCCUGCUUCCAGGAAAAGCCUCUAAGCAUCAGGUAACAUCAAAUCGUACCCCAAACCGACACAGGUGGUCAGGUAGAGAAUACCAAGGCGCUUGAGAGAACUCGGGUGAAGGAACUAGGCAAAAUGGUGCCGUAACUUCGGGAGAAGGCACGCUGAUAUGUAGGUGAAGCGACUUGCUCGUGGAGCUGAAAUCAGUCGAAGAUACCAGCUGGCUGCAACUGUUUAUUAAAAACACAGCACUGUGCAAACACGAAAGUGGACGUAUACGGUGUGACGCCUGCCCGGUGCCGGAAGGUUAAUUGAUGGGGUUAGCCGCAAGGCGAAGCUCUUGAUCGAAGCCCCGGUAAACGGCGGCCGUAACUAUAACGGUCCUAAGGUAGCGAAAUUCCUUGUCGGGUAAGUUCCGACCUGCACGAAUGGCGUAAUGAUGGCCAGGCUGUCUCCACCCGAGACUCAGUGAAAUUGAACUCGCUGUGAAGAUGCAGUGUACCCGCGGCAAGACGGAAAGACCCCGUGAACCUUUACUAUAGCUUGACACUGAACAUUGAGCCUUGAUGUGUAGGAUAGGUGGGAGGCUUUGAAGUGUGGACGCCAGUCUGCAUGGAGCCGACCUUGAAAUACCACCCUUUAAUGUUUGAUGUUCUAACGUUGACCCGUAAUCCGGGUUGCGGACAGUGUCUGGUGGGUAGUUUGACUGGGGCGGUCUCCUCCUAAAGAGUAACGGAGGAGCACGAAGGUUGGCUAAUCCUGGUCGGACAUCAGGAGGUUAGUGCAAUGGCAUAAGCCAGCUUGACUGCGAGCGUGACGGCGCGAGCAGGUGCGAAAGCAGGUCAUAGUGAUCCGGUGGUUCUGAAUGGAAGGGCCAUCGCUCAACGGAUAAAAGGUACUCCGGGGAUAACAGGCUGAUACCGCCCAAGAGUUCAUAUCGACGGCGGUGUUUGGCACCUCGAUGUCGGCUCAUCACAUCCUGGGGCUGAAGUAGGUCCCAAGGGUAUGGCUGUUCGCCAUUUAAAGUGGUACGCGAGCUGGGUUUAGAACGUCGUGAGACAGUUCGGUCCCUAUCUGCCGUGGGCGCUGGAGAACUGAGGGGGGCUGCUCCUAGUACGAGAGGACCGGAGUGGACGCAUCACUGGUGUUCGGGUUGUCAUGCCAAUGGCACUGCCCGGUAGCUAAAUGCGGAAGAGAUAAGUGCUGAAAGCAUCUAAGCACGAAACUUGCCCCGAGAUGAGUUCUCCCUGACUCCUUGAGAGUCCUGAAGGAACGUUGAAGACGACGACGUUGAUAGGCCGGGUGUGUAAGCGCAGCGAUGCGUUGAGCUAACCGGUACUAAUGAACCGUGAGGCUUAACCUUACAACGCCGAAG